CCUCCACAGCUCAGUAGGGCAUCCAUCCACAGCUCCAGUAAGGCAUCCAUCCAACAGCUCCAGUAGGCAUCCAUCCAUCGCUCUAGUAGGCAUCCAUCUAUCCAUCCCAUCCAUCCACAGCUCCAGUAUGCAUCCAUCUAUCCAUCCACAGCUCCAGUAGGCAACCAUCCAUCUAUCCAUCCACAGCUCCAGUAGCAUCCAUCCACCAGCUCCAGUAGGGCAACCAUCCAUCUAUCCUUCCACGCUCCAGUAGGCAUCCAUCCAUCUAUCCAUCCACAGCUCCAGUAGGCAUCCAUCCAUUCCACAGCUCCAGUAGGCAACCACUCCAUCUAUCCAUCCACAGCUCCAGUAGGCAACCAUCCAUCUAUCCCAUCACAGGCUCCAGUUAGGCAUCCAUCUAUCCAUCCAUCCCUCAAUUAUCAGCUCCAGUAGGCUCCAUCCAUCCACAGCUCAGUAACAACAUACAUCCAUCCUCCACAGCUCAGUAGGCAAACCAUUCUCAUCCACAGCUCCAGUAGGCUUCAUCCAUCCCAUAGCUCAGUAGGCAACCAUCCAUCCACAGCUCCAGUAGGCAACCAUCCAUCCACAGCUCCAGUAGGCAACCAUCCAUCCACAGCUCCAAGUAGGCAAACCAUCCAUCCAGCCACUACGUACCACCUCGCCCAGUAGGAACAUCCAUCCACGCUCCAGUAGGCAACCAUCCAUC
ensembl:lncRNA